ACGAAGGGGGCUAGCGUUGUUCGGAUUUACUGGGCGUAAAGCGCACGUAGGCGGAUCGUUAAGUCUGGUGUUUAAACCCGAGGCUCAACUUCGGGUCGCACUGGAAACUGGGGAACUUGAGUGCAGAAGAGGAGAGUGGAAUUCCAUGUGUAGCGGUGAAAUGCGUAGAUAUGUGGAGGAACACCAGUGGCGAAGGCGACUCUCUGGGCUGUAACUGACGCUGAGGCGCGAAAGCGUGGGGAGCAAACAGGA
rnacentral:rRNA from 1 species